rnacentral:rRNA from 1 species
GACGAACGCUGGCGGCGCGCUUAACACAUGCAAGUCGAGCGAAUCGGCGGACGGGUGAGUAACACGUGAGUAACCUGCCUUAGACAUUGGGAUAGCCUCGGGAAACCGGGAUUAAUACCAAAUGGUCUAAGAUGGACUCGCGUCCCAUUAGCUAGUUGGUGGGUAACGGCCCACCAAGGCGACGAUGGGUAGCCGGCCGGGGAGGGGGAACGGCCACAUUGGAACUGGGAAACGGUGGAAACUUGACGGGAGGAAGAAGGGGGGAAGAAUGAACGACGGAGGGAACUUUGAGGCAGCGACGUCGCGUGAAUGAAGAAGGCUUUCGAGUCGUAAAGUUCUUUUAUAUGGGAAGCGGUACCAGAAGAAAAAGCCACGGCUAACUACGUGCCAGCAGCCGCGGUAAUAC